rnacentral:tRNA from 1 species
GGGGUUGUGGCUUAGUGGUAGAGCACUCACCUGGCAUGUGUGAGGCACUGGGUUCAAUCCCCAGCACCUCA